AAGAAAAGAAAACCACAUAUGAUGUAAAAUACAAACCUCAAAGAAAUUAUUCACUCCCUCCGGAUAAUUUAAUAACACAUUGAAAAAAAAAAUUAAAAGUAGAAAUAGAUGAAAGAGGGUCCACAAAAGGCGAAACAUGCUCAGAUGUAGAUCAAGCUUGAAGCCUAAGCCGAGGCGAUGAAGAGCAAGAAGAAGAGGCAGACCACUGAAAAUGACAGCUUCGUGGAGUUCCCUGCUGAUGUGCUAUCGUCUGUUGUUGGAACAUUACUCUUUGAACCACCACCACCUGUACCAACAUGAACGUAUUAUUAGUCUAAUUACUUAAUGCUAAUUGUUCUAUAGGAUACCAAGUUAAUUAAAAUAACAAUUAGCUCUUGUAAAUUGUACCUGAUGAUGGAGAAUUUGAUGUUCCUGAUGGAGA
rnacentral:lncRNA from 1 species